rnacentral:rRNA from 1 species
GUCCAGCAUUUCCAGUUUGGAAUGGGGGAGUAUCAUCUAAUCUUGGAAGGAAAGCAGGGCCAGGCCUGGUUAGUCCUUGGACUGAAGACUGCCUGGGAAUACCAGUGCUGUAGGCU